GCCUACGGGUGGCUGCAGUAGGGAAUAUUGGGCAAUGGAUGCAAGUCUGACCCAGCCAUGCCGCGUGAAGGAAGAAGGUCCUCUGGAUUGUAAACUUCUUUUGUCGGGGAAGAAUAGUCAUCUUGCGAGGUGAUGUGACGGUACCCGAUGAAUAAGCCACGGCUAACUACGUGCCAGCAGCCGCGGUAAUACGUAGGUGGCAAGCGUUGUCCGGAUUUAUUGGGUUUAAAGGGUGCGUAGGUGGUUUAAUAAGUCAGUGGUGAAAGCUGGUUGCUCAACAAUCAAGUUGCCAUUGAUACUGUUAGACUUGAGAGAAGUGGAGGCUGGUGGAAUGGAUGGUGUAGCGGUGAAAUGCAUAGAUAUCAUCCAGAACGUCAAUUGCGAAGGCAGCUGGCUGUACUUUUUCUGACACUGAGGCACGAAAGUGUGGGGAUCAAACAGGAUUAGAUACCCUUGUAGUCA
rnacentral:rRNA from 1 species